AAUGAACGUUGGCGGCGUGGAUUAGGCAUGCAAGUCGAGCGAGAACCUUCAGCAAUGGAGGGGAAAGCGGCGAAAGGGAGAGUGACGCGUGGAUCAUCUACCCUCGGGUCUGGGAUAGCCGCGGGAAACCGCGGGUAAUACCGGAUAACGUCCCUGGACCAAAGGUGCGAUUCCGCCUGAGGAUGAGUCCGCGUCCUAUCAGCUUGUUGGCGGGGUAACGGCCCACCAAGGCGACGACGGGUACUGGGUGUGAGAGCACGACCCAGCUCACUGGGACUGAGACACUGCCCAGACACCUACGGGUGGCUGCAGUCGAGGAUCUUCGGCAAUGGGCGCAAGCCUGACCGAGCGACGCCGCGUGCGGGAUGAAGGCCUUCGGGUUGUAAACCGCUGUCAGUGGGGAGGAAAUGCGCGGGGGUUCUCCCUCGCGUUUGACCUAUCCGCAGAGGAAGUACGGGCUAAGUUCGUGCCAGCAGCCGCGGUAAUAC
rnacentral:rRNA from 1 species